GACGAACGCUGGCGGCGUGCCUAAUACAUGCAAGUCGAACGGUCUUUUCUAUGGAAGCUUGCUUCCACUGAGAAGAUAGUGGCGAACGGGUGAGUAACACGUGGGUAACCUGCCCAUAAGAGGGGGAUAACAUCCGGAAACGGGUGCUAAUACCGCAUAGUUUUCUUGAUCGCAUGAUCGAGAAAGGAAAGACGGCAUUUGUGCUGUCGCUUAUGGAUGGACCCGCGGCGUAUUAGUUAGUUGGUGAGGUAACGGCUCACCAAGACGAUGAUACGUAGCCGACCUGAGAGGGUGAUCGGCCACAUUGGGACUGAGACACGGCCCAAACUCCUACGGGAGGCAGCAGUAGGGAAUCUUCCGCAAUGGACGAAAGUCUGACGGAGCAACGCCGCGUGAGUGAAGAAGGUUUUCGGAUCGUAGAACUCUGUUGUCAGAGAAGAACAAGUCGGAGAGUAACUGCUCCGGCCUUGACGGUAUCUGACCAGAAAGCCACGGCUAACUACGUGCCAGCCGCCGCCGUAAUAC
rnacentral:rRNA from 1 species